GACUUGACUUACAAGUAUAUGACUGUCAGCAGCAUUGGGUACAUUCCUGAUCGAGAAAUAAUUGAUGUGAUAGGGAUCUUCUACAAAAAAAAGAAGAAGGUGAUAUCGCUGCAGUCCUAUACCAAAGAAGAGCAUAGUAUUAAAAUUUUGGACGACAAAGGCAAGAAGAUGGAAGUGGGUUGCUGAACAAUUGAACAGUUCCUGCAAAAAAUGAAAAUAGAAGAGUUGAAGACC